rnacentral:rRNA from 1 species
UACGUAGGGGCAAGCGUUGUCCGGAUUUAUUGGGCGUAAAGAGCGUGUAGGCGGCCAGGCAGGUCCGUUGUGAAAACUCGAGGCUCAACCUCGAGACGUCGAUGGAAACCGUCUGGCUAGAGUCCGGAAGAGGAGAGUGGAAUUCCUGGUGUAGCGGUGAAAUGCGCAGAUACCAGGAAGAACACCUAUGGCGAAGGCAGCUCUCUGGGACGGUACUGACGCUGAAGACGCGAAAGCGUGGGGAGCGAACAGG